CCUCACCCCCUACCUCGGCCAGUCCGCCCCUGUCCUCUCCCCAUUCCCCCCUCAACCCCGGGCAGCGCCCCCACCCCCACGGCCAGAGGCAGCCAGGCAUGGAGGCGUCUGCCAGGCUGCCUGCAGGACAUCUGCACUCCCCACCUUCCAACAAACAAAUGGGAACCCACGCGUGAAGUGCUUGAGCGCGCAAAAUAUUUUAUUCAACAAUUUGCAGUGUAACAAUUUGCAUUUAGGAAAAAUAGCAGCUCCCACCUGCAGGAAGCUUCUCGAAUCAAAAGUGUCUCUUUAGUCUUAACAAGAACAGGAACAGUUUUCAGAACAGUCGAUGAAGCCUUAAAGCUCUGGGUCUGCCGAGCGGAGGUCUUCCCCAGGCCGGUCCUCACGGCCGGGUCAGCAAGGAGCAGCGGGAGGGCUCUCGGGUUCCAGAGCUGCUGGCAGGAAACUGUAUAAGCCACUUUCUUCAAGAUGUCACCAAUACUCAAGUGAUGACGCCCACGUGAGAGAGAGCCGGCCAUCUAGACGGAACUACGGAAACCAUUCUUGAGAAGGCGUAGCACUUCUCCAGCUUGCGGCCUCAGGGCCUCGACAGGAGACUCACCAGACUACUGUGUGCGCAAUGAAAUCAGGUCUCUUACAGUC